CUGAAGUGGUCGAGGGGGCAUAGCAUCAGGUGGGGAGACAAUGGGAAUGGGCAAGACUUCAGAAACAGGAAGAGACUCAGAAGUGGUGGAAAAGAAUGGUGAGUCCUCAAAGAAGGUGACAUCAGCGGAGAUAAAGUAUCGAUGAGUCUCAAGGGAAUAACAACGAUAACCCUUCUGAAGUCUGGAAUAUCCCAAGAAGAGGCACUUCAUGGCUUUGGCGGAAAGCUUGUCUUGUCCAGGAGUGAGAAUAUGAACAAAGCAAGUACAACCAAAGACACGAGGAGGAAGGAAAUAAAGUGGUUGGUCAGGGAAAAGAAGGGAGUGAGGAAUCUGAUCGUGUAAGACAGAGGAGGGCAUACGAUUAAUCAAAUAACAAGCGGUAAGAACAGCGUCCCCCCAAAAACGAAAAGGAACGUGACUAUGGAGGAGGAGAGUACGAGUUGUCUCAACAAGAUGUCGAUUCUUGCGUUCAGCUACCCCAUUUUGUUGAGGAGUAUGAGCACAAGAAGACUGAUGAAGAAUCCCAUGAUGAGACAUAAACGAAGUAAAUUGGGCUGAAAAAUAUUCCCUGGCAUUGUCACUGCGUAACACACGAAUAGAAAUAUUGAACUGGGUUUGGAUUUCAGUAUAAAAUUUCUGGAAAAUAGAGAAUAACUCAGCUCGAUUUUUCAUUAAAAAUAACCAAGUACAUCGAGAAUAGUCAUCAAUGAAAGUGACAAAAUACUGAAAUCCUAAAGUAGACGCAGUUCGACAAGGACCCCAAACAUCAGUGUGGACAAGCUCAAAAGGAGACUUUGCCCGAUUAUUCAAACGCUUUGGGAACGAGACACGAGUAUGUUUCCCAAGCUGACAUGACUCACACGGAAGCGACGACAAAGUGGAAAAACGAGGAACCAUCUUCUGGAACUUGGAGAGACUAGGGUGGCCCAGACGAUUGUGAAUGAGGAGAGGAGCAUCAGUGGAAAUGCAAACUGCAGGAGAUGAAUCUGAGGUGAGGUGAUAGAGGCCUUGAGACUCACGUCCUAUGCCAAUCGUCUUCCCCGUACUCCGGUCCUGCAAGGUCACAAAUUUAUCAGAAAAGGUAAUAGAACAAUUAAGAGUACGAGUGAUUUUGCUGAUGGAAAUAAGAUUAAAAGGACAUUCAGGAGUAUAAAGGACAGAAGUGAGAGGUAGAGAAGGCAGAGGAAGGGCCAAACCAAUACCUUUAGCCACAGUUUGAGAACCAUUAGCUAAGGUAACAGUAGGUAAAUCAGAGGUAGUAGUAAUAGAGGAGAAAAGAUCCUUAUUACCAGAUAGGUGAUCAGAUGCUCCAGAAUCUAGAAUCCAGGGUCCAAGAGAAGAUGUGUGGGUAAGGCAAGCAGAGGCAUUACCAGGCUGGGCAACAGAGGCAAUAGAAGCCUGAGAUGUCUGAGAUGCGGAGGAGCUCGGAGGCUGAGGCAGCGGAGAAUCAGAGGACUGGGCCAUAUGGGCAGUGCGAGGAGGUCUUCCAUGUAACUGAUAGCAACGAUCGCGAGUGUGACCAAGUUUAUUACAAUAGGUGCAAUGAGGACGUUGGCCUCUACCUCGGGUACCACUGCGUCCUCCUCGAGAGGUAGUUUGAGAAACUAACACAGAAGAAUCUGAAGCGCUAUCAGAUGGCAAAGUCUGAGUGGACGAGAUACGGAGGAGGCGAGCAAACACAUCAUCCAAGGACGGAACUGAUGAACUACCAAGAAUCUGAUCACGAAUAGGCUCAAGAUCCGGACGGAGACCAAUAAGAGUAAGGACCAUGAAGAACUUGUCAAGCUGUGUUUGUUGAGCCCCAACAUCAGGAGUAAGAGGCAUCACAGUCAAGAACUGCUCUUUAAGAGAGGCAAUCUGACCAAUAUAAGUAGAUAGAUCCAAGUCCUGUUGGCUGAGAUGGACAAUAGCAGAAGCCACCUUAUAAAGACGCUGGAUAUCAUUCGUGUAUAAUCCUUUGGUCUGAGUCCAAAAUUUAAAACAAGUUUUAUAGGCCUGAAGAUGAAGAAGAAUCCGGGGAUCAACCGAUUGCCAUAAUACACUACAUAACUGUGCAUCUAUCUUCCUCCACUGUACGCGGUCAACCUCAGGGAUAUCUGCCUCCUGGGUAACCAAGUGAUCCUCAUAUCCUUGACCCAUAAACCAAAGUUCAACAGAGGCAGACCAGGAAAGAUAAUUUUCACUGCCAACCAAUUUCUCUGAGGUAAUCAUAGGAGAUCCAGAGAUAACAGAGGUAAAGAUCUGAUUUUUGGUGGUCAUAUUCACGUAUUUGGAUCGAAGAGAGCCCUAAUACGGCUUCAGAUUGCGGCGUGGCACCACCGAAAAAGGGAGACGGCCUCAGAUCGCGACGUGGUACCACCAGAAAGGUAGAAGAACACUUCCCAAGGCACGUGCAGGGAUUGGGGUGGAGAGAAAGUAGCCGGAACUUCGCCGGAAAGGCUGUUUGGAGGGCUGACGGAGACAAAAAUCCCCAAAAGAGGUACGUGCAGGGCUCGGAUGGGAGAACCAGGUAGGUAGGGAUGCUGGUCGGCGGCAGACGAGGCUGGAGGAGGAGGCGCGUCGCCGGAAAAGUCCUCACGCGCCCUCACGCGCCGGCGCGUGAGAUGCAGUCGCCGGCCGGAAAAUGGCGCGUGGCCGGCGCGUGGAUCCUCUUUUGGUGCCGGUGUCUUCACAAAAGUUGGAGAUCUCCUCCAGGCGCUCCUUCUGGUAUGGUCGGUGUCGGAAAAAUAGGUCGCCGGAAAAGUUCGCCGGAAAGUUCGCCGGAAAAUUUCGCCGGCGGUGAGUGGUUUCUAACGACGUUCCGACUGACCGGAAAGUAUUGGGAGAUGGGGAAGGUGACCGGAAUGAAACACGGUCACCGGAAGGUUGCCCGGAGUUGAUGACACGGGAAACAGGAAAGAAUUAGGUUUUCUUCCCUAGCUCUGAUACCAUGUUGAGAGAGAGAGAAAGAAGAAAAACCUUAAUUCUCAUUCAUGUAAUGUCUACUUACAAUUGAGAGAUAUAUAUAUACAAGGCUAGGAGUCCUAACUACCAUACAUGUGACCUAUAUUAACAAGGAAAGAUAAUAUACUAUAAAUACAUUAUAUUUAACAAACUCAGAACAAUAAAUGCUAAUGUGGAGAGUAUCUCCUCCAUUAUAUUAUGAACCAUUAACUUGCAUCUCAUGGCAUUUUUUCUUAAUUCUAUGACAAACUUGUGGAGUUCUCUCUUGGAUAAAACUUCUCUAUCAAAAGGAAAAAAAAAAUAUGAACUAAAGGAUUUUCAAACCAACCAAAGCAUUAAUGCCUUUAUUAAGAGUAAUCAGCCAAUUGCAAUGCCAUUUUUGAAUGAUGAGGGUACAGGAUAACAGAAUUUACAGAUCAACGAGAACUCACCACCUGAUUGCAUGAGUUUCCAUUCAAAAACGGUGGAGACAGCCAUCAAAUUAAGACCAUCAAUGAUCAGCUUCAUUUUCUUACUUGUAUCCUCUUGUUUUUUAUCAUUCAUCUUUGGUGUUUUUAGGCCCGAGGCCUACUCAGGAUGGGUACCGAAUAAAGACUGUGUUGGCUAGAACCACAUAACUUCUCCUUUUAGGGUGUUGGAAAGUGUCUGAAACUUCUAUCCAGCACAUACUCCUUUUGGUAAAUAAUAUUCUAUAAAAUAUUUCCUAUAUUAGUAUUUCCUAAAGAAAAUAGGUAGCUCAUCAAUUAAGAAAAGGUGUUAGGAUAAUCUCUACGAGUAUUUUAAAUCAUAAGUGAAAAAAAUAAUGCAUUUUUGAUGAGCAUAGAAAAUCUACCACCAGGUAAAUGGAUAUGUAAGGAAAAGUGAGAGACCCUUGGCGUAACAGAGGUUGAGUUCAAGGUAUAGAAAUAUACUAGAAGCAGAGAAAUAGAUUGUUUCAAGGCUUGAGAGUUGUUUCUCUUUUUCUCUUUCCUUCAUAAAUUCUCCAUGGUUAGCAAAAUUACAUUUUCUUUUUGAUAACAGAGGAACAUUCCAUGGCGAAGCACUUUGGACUCAAACCUUAGGGUGCUGAUACCUGCAACAACCAGCACCUAGUAAAUUAAGGUAUCAUCAAUGGUAGAAUUUGAACCUGGGACCAUGUGCUUCUUACUAGGACCGCACCUCCCAGCGUUUGCCCUGACCAACUGAGCUACCCUGGCAGACAAAAAAUAUUACAUUAAAACCUUAUAUAGCUUUAUGUAUGAGUUUAUUUUAUCUUUAUGCUAUUACACUAGCAUCUACCAUUAAAGAUUUCAUUGGCACAUUGCAUGAUAGCGCUCUUAUUCGAGAAAGAACCUUAACUAGUUGUAGUAGACCCUAAACUUAAUCAUGCAGCAACUAAUAGAGAAGGAACAUUAACUUGUUGUGGUAGACCUUAUACUCAAUCAUGCAAUUGUCAUAGAACUACAAAAGCUUAGGACCACCUAGUAAGAUGCACUUGAGCACUAAGCAAUGCUAAGGUAGUUGUAGAUCUUGAAUCGGGUUCUUAUUACUACUAAAAUAUAUAAGAUAUGGCUUUGGCAUAGACGUUUAGCUCAUUCCUCUUUUUCAAUUCUAAAAAGACUCAUUCCCUACUUAUUUACAAAUAUUGAUGUCAAGGAUUUGCAUUGUGAAAGUUGUAAACUUGCGAAACAUUAUCACAUACCUCUUUAAAUAAAUACUCUAAACAAUUUCCCUCCAUUUAGUUUGACAUAUUCUAAAGCCCGAGGUCCAUCUUGUGUCACCAAUAUUUCCAACUCAUGAUGGUUUAUUGUACUCAUCCUACUUGGGGUAUAUUUUAGGAAAUCUAAAUCUGAAUUAUGAUGUAUUUUUUUUUUCAUUUUUUUCAUUUCUUUCAUAAUCUUAUCUGAAACCAAUUUGGAGUUAAAUUCAUACUCUUAGGACAGAUAACGGGAGGGAGUAUUUUAACCAAGCAUUGAUUGAUUUUCUUCAAAAUGAGGGUAUAAUUCACUACUCACCAUGUAUUGACACACCUUAACAAAAUGGGAUUGCCGAAAGGAAAAAUAGGCACUUAUUAGAAGUUGUUCGUACUUUACUUUUUGAAAUAAAUGUUCCAAAACAUAUUGGGGAGAAAUCAUUUUGACAACCACCUACUUGAUAAAUAGGAUGCCUAUUAGGGUCCUUGACUAAAAUCUCCACUCUUUAUUUCCCAAAUUUUAGGGAUUUGGUAAAUUGCCUCCAAAGAUAUUUGAGUGUUUAUCCUAUGUCCAUGGCCAUAGCCAUUUAAGAGGGAAAUUUGACCCUUGAGCAAUCCAUUACAUCUUUUGAGGCUACUCAUCCACACAAAAGGGUUACAAAUGUUAGCAUCUAACCACAUGGAAAAAAUAUGCUACAAGGGACCUAACUUUUCUGGAAAACCAAUUUUUUUUUAUGGAAACACCUAUCUUGAGGGGGAAAAAGAUGAUAUGGAAGAUAGGUCGUAAGAACUUGAACCUUUUUUUUACUCUUCUACACUAAAUCAAAAUGAUUCCAAAGGUCCCUUUCCUCAAAUAAUUUUUUCCACUUCCAAUAAAUUUAUUCAAAUUUCCAAUAUCACUCGGAAAAUCCUAUAGUAGUUGAAAAUGAAGCAUCUUUUAUAGUCAAAAUGUAUUCCAGGAGAAAGCAGCAUGUAGUUCCUUUACAAGACCCUCUUUUUUUUUUUGGUAGACAAAAUAUGUAUUAAGAGUGCCAAGAAGAGCGCACCAAAGUAUAAAGGAUGUAUACAAAGUUUGCCUAGAGAUGGACAAAAAAUAGGGAAAGGAAAAAUAAAAAACUACUCCCUCCCGUAGUAGAACCCACCCAAUCAAUAAAAUCACAAAAGGACAUAGGGCCCAUGGUUAUGUACAACUUGGUCCAAGAAAACAAGUUAUAGAGGAACAAGUUUUUUAGUCUUAGGACAGAGAGCUCCUUGUUUUAAAAUGAUAUUUUAUUUCUCUCCUUCCAAAUUGUCCAAAAAAGACACAAAGGAGCUACUCCCCACACUUUUUUCCUUUUCCUACCAACACAUGGUGCAUGCCAACCCAACAACGUCUCUUUGACUGAGGAAGACAAUAUUCAACAAAUAUCAGAGAGAGAACAAAAACCACCACAAAGCCCUUGCUAUUCCACAAUGAAGCAAGAUGUGGUCAAUCGACUCCUCUUGAAUAUGGAAAAGGAAGCAUUUGUUAGCCAGGGACUAUCCUCUCCUCUAGAGACAAUCUAAAGUCAAAACCUUGCCCCACAAGGCCUCUCAGGUGAAAAAACUCACCUUAGAUGGAACCUAAGAGUUCCAAACAACAACUUUUGGGAAUGGAAUAGAACACCCAGGCUCUAGGCAAGCAUAAAAGGACUUCAUAGAAAAGGAACCGCUCUUUGUCUCUAGCCAUAUGACCUUAUCUUUUGCUCCCUCAUUCACUGUCUUAUCUUGAAGCUUAAAAAAAAAAAAUGCUCCACAAUAACAAUUUCCUAACCGUUUAGGUUCCUAGAGAACUUAGGGGUUCAACCACCACUAAAGUUAGAUUCAUUCCAUAGAUCUGCCACCUACACCUCCUUUGAGCUAGCCAAGGCAAAUAAGCAAGGGAAAGAACCACACAAUGGCUCAUUAUCACACCAUUUAUCUUUCUAAAAUUUGACCCUCCUUCCAUUGCCCAUUAAAAAAGAGACUUUAGUGUUAAACAUCUCCCACAAUUUCUUUAUGGUUUUCCAAAGCCCAACCCCAUAACUAACAAUCACUUCCUUACAGCACCACCCUCUUCAACCCCAAAGGAAAUCCUUUUGAAUUUGUUCCAACCUCAUCCUCACUUUCCUCAGCAUCUGAAAAAGUGACAUAAAAUAGAUGGGCAAUAAGGUGCUAUGUAUCGAUGUAAGUAUCCCCCCUUUGGAAAUAUACUAUCUUUUCCACAUUGAUAGUCUUUUACAAAACCUCUCUUCCACCCCAUCCCAAACCACCAAACAAUUUGAAGGGGCACCAAGUGGAAGUCCCAAAUAAGUGGUUGGAAAAUUUCCCACCUUACAACCUAGAACAGAAGCUAAAUCUUCCAAAUUUUCCACCCUCUUAAUUGGAAUGACCUCGCACUUGCUAAGAUUUAUCUUCAAGCUUGAAAUGGUCUCAAACCACAUAAGUAACCAACUUAAGUAAUUCAUGAGUGAGAGAGGCCUCAUAAAAAACCAAAGUAUCAUUAGCAAAUAACAAGUUAGAAAUCUCCCAGUCCUCACCACCUCUAUCACUCUCCUUAGCCCUCCUAAGUAGGCAAUUGAGUGCUUUCAUUGCUAGCACAAACAAAUAUGGUGAAAGUGGGUCCCCUUGCCUCCUUUAGUGCUUUGGAAAAAACUAGAAGGAGUGCCAUUAACCAAAACCAAGAAACUUGCUAUCGAAAUUCAUCAUCCAAUCCAUGAGAUCCAUUUCUGCCCAAACCCCAUAGCGUCCAAAAUUGAAAGCAAGAACUCCCAAUUUAAAUGAUCAUAUGCCUUCUCAAUGUGAAGCUUACACAGCACCCAACACUUGUUCUUUCUCAACAUAUAGUCAAUGACUUCAUUGGCUAUAAGGACAUCAUCUAGGAUUUGCCUUCCCUCCACAAAGGCAUUCUGGAACUUUGAGACCACUUUACACACCACCUUUUUCAACUUAUUAGCCAACACUUUGGCUAAUGACUUAUACAGGCUACCUACCAAACUAAUAGGCCUGAAAUCUUUAAGAUCAUUCACUUUCCCCCCCUCCCCCUCUUUCUUUGGAACCAACACCAGAAAGGUCACAUUAAGGCAUCUUACAAAUUUGCUUAUUAAUGAAAAUCUUUGAAAAAACCCAUCACUUCUUUAACAAAGUCCCAUCUAAAAUGCCAAAAGGCCAUCGAGAAACCAUUUGGUCCAGGUGCUUUAUUCCCAUUUAAAUCAAAAAGGGCAACAAACACCUCUUCCUCCACAAAUAGAUCCUCCAGCUUUGUUGCAUCUUGGACAUCUAAGCUAUUAAAACUCAUAUUCCUGAUGGAAAGACGCCACUCUCCUUGUUUUGAAAGGAGGUGAUGAAAGACAUGAACAAUCCCCUCCUUAAUCCCUGCCUCCUUCGCUAAACAAACCCCAUUAAUUUUUAAUUUGUUCCUUCUUCUAUGUACAUUUGCCAUUGUGGAAGAAGUUGGUAUUUUUAUUUCCUUCCUUUAAUCACACCUCCCUUGAUUUCUACCUCUAGCUAGUCUCUUCCAUAAGGGCUCAUGUAUGAAAAUCCACCCUUGCUUCCUCCCUUGCAACUAUCUCCCCUUGAGAUAACACACCCACUAUUUCUUUUGCAUCCCAAAAGCCCACUUGAGAAAGAGUCAGAUUCUUUUUUACUGCCACAUUCCCAAACACCUCUAUAUUCCACCUUUUCAAAUUAGCCUUCAGACUAAUUUCUCAGAUAAAAUGAAGCUAUGAGACCCUCCUAAAGCCGAACCCCACUCACCAGCUCUUUAAUAAAUCUUUAAAGCCUUCCUCCUUCAGUCACAUAUUUUCAAAUCUAAAAGGGGAAGGACCUCUCUGUAAGCCAUCCUCAUCCAACAAGAUUGGUGAAUGAUCUGACACAAGUCUAAGGAGUAUGCUCUAGAUUGCUCCACUAAAAUGACUUUCCCACCUCUUGGAAACCAAAAAGCGGUCUGAUCUUGACUAAGAUUGGUUAUUUAAGCCCUCGCUCAAAGUAAAGGACCCCCCAUUCAAUGGUAGAUCUCUAAGCUGCAGGUCCUCAAUAAUUUCAUAAAAUCUUAUCUCCAAAGACAACCUGCUGGCACCAUUAUAUUCCCCUAGAAAUCUAACUAUGUUAAAAUCACCUUUGAUACACCACGAAUUAUCCUAUAGCCCCUUAAUGGCCCUCAGCUCUACCCACAAAACCUCUCUAUCUCUCCUAAGACAUGUGAAAAUCCAAACAAAACCGCCAUCGCAAUUUUUGAAGUGGUAAGUAAUUGAGUGUUCACCUAUCUCCAUUCCCACCAACUCCAACACCCUCAGGUCCCAAAAAAUAAGGAUCCCACCUGCUGCCCCCCCUGAGUUCGCUGCACCCCAUUCUGAAAGUCUGCUUGCUCCUAAGCUAUGCGUUAGACCAAUUGAUAUAACUUGGGCUUUUGUUUUCUGUAAGCAUACCAGGUCUACCUUCUGUGUUUUAAUUAAAGACUUUAUGCAUACCAGGUCUACCCUUCGCGUUUCAAUAAAAGACUUUAUAACCAUUCUUUUAGAACCCCUCUUACAUUCCAAGAUAAGAUUCUUAACUUCAUUUAUCACCCGAAGGAUUAACCCAAACUUCUGCCCCUUCCUCCCUUUAAACCAGCUCCAUUGUAGUUUACUAACCACUCCAACUUCUUAAGCCCUCUCCUAAAAUGUGACGAUCCCAUUUUGCAUCUUCUCCUACUGUACAUGCAUCCCUCUUUUUCCUUACUCUAAUCUUGUUGAGAAGUGUUAAGAUCUCAUCCUCAAACCACUCUGUUCUCAAAACCUAAGAAAUUGCCAAACUCAGCCUAUUGUCAAAGAACCAAGUUUUCGACUAACCCUCUUCCCUCUUACAACUGGCCACAAACCCCCCUUUCCCUUAACUUUUUCCCGCCUCCUCCGGUACUAUCUCUUUUCCCUUACUGAUCAGAAAUACCACUGCACUUCCAUUGGACAAAAUCAUUGUCAACGGGUUAGAAUCCACAACAAAGGAACCCUCUCCAGUCCCCCAAAUCAGUAGACUUUGAUUCUAUGAGUCUAACUCAUUGAGCCCGGAAUCUCACCCAUGCUCAAAGGAAAGAGAAGAAAAAGAAGAAGCCCCCACCCCCAUAGAAGAAAAAGGGAAAGUAUCAGCACCCAGAAAUCAGGUUGCUUCCUCCAAGAGUGCUUCAUUGGUGAGGAAGGAACAAAGUGUCAACAAAGACUGACUCUCCUUCAAGAGAGGAGAAGCUCUCACCAUCAUCAGAGGGAAAAACCAUAGCAUCUAACUCCAAAGAAGCCCUAAGCCCCUUUAAAAGGCCCAAUGAGCCUUCACCGCAACAGUCCACUUGGUCCACACUGCCCUAGCUCAAAAUAGAAGGCCCAAAGGUUGAAGGAGAAGCCUCUUUCUCCACUGGGCCUGAUUGCCACUGGACCUCUUUACUGGAGCUCCCUUUCAAAACACGGGCCUCUUUCACACCCUUAAGGCCCAAAACGUUACAGCCACUAGGCACCUUACAUCGUCAGCCCUUGCAAAAGGAUGAAGACCAUGGGAUGCAAAUGGAUUUAUACCAUUAAGUACAACAUUGAUGGCUCAAUGGAAAAAUACAAAUAAAGACUUGUGACAAAAGGGUACACACAAACUUAUGGUGUUGAUUAUCAAGACUCUUUUGCCUCUAUAACUAAUAUGAACGCUAUUUGGAUUUUAUUGUCUUUAACAGCAGAUCUAAAUUAGCCAUUGCAAUAAUUUGAUGUGAAGAACAUAUUCCUCCAUGAAGACUUGGAAGAGGAUGUAUAUAUAGCUGUUCCACCUAGUUUUUCUCAUAGAAAAUGGUGUGACAAAGUGUGCAGGUUGAAGAAAACUCUGUAUGGGCUUAAACAAUCCCUAAGGGCCUGGUUUGGAAAGUUUACCAAGUCCUUGAUGAGAAGAGGCUAUAAACAAAGUCAAAGUAACCACACUUUAUUUAUCAAUCAUUCUAUUCUUCGAAAGGUAUCUGCCCUAAUUGUGUAUGUAGAUGAUAUUGCAACCAAUGAAUUGAGAUUGGAAAAAUGAAUUCUUAUUUGGCAGGUGAAUUUGAAAUUAAAGAUCUAUUGGGUGCAAGCUUGUAGAAACACUAAUUGAGGCUAACCACAAGUUUGGAGACAUAAAGGAGGAAUCUUCUGUUGAUAGAGGAAUCUAUCAGAGGAUGGUGGAAAGCUCACUUAUCUCAUACACCAGGGCUGAUAUUGCAUAUGCAGCUAGUGUUGUGAGUUAAUUCAUCAUUCUCUACUAAAAUCUCACUUGGAAGCUGUGUGUAGAAUUCUCAAAGUACUUAAGUCCUCUCCAAGCAAGGCAAUUCUGUACCAGAAUAAUGGGAAUCUUCAGUUAGAGGCAUACACUAAUGCAGACUGGGCAGGAUCCUUAACUGAUAGGAUAUCUACUGUAGAGUAUUGCACUCUACUUGAAGGUAAUCUUGUUAUGUGGAGGAGUAAGAAGCAAUCAAUGGUAGCUCGGUCUAGAGCAGAGGUUGAAGUUAGGGCAAUAACCCAUGGGAUUUGUGAGUUACUUGGGAUUAAGAUAGUGCUUAUAGAUCUUAAAGUCAAGACUUAAGUGCCUAUGAUGUUCUAUUGUGACAACAAAGCCGCUAUAAACAUAGCACAUAACCCAUUGCAUCAUGACAAAACCAAACACGUCAAAAAUCGAUUGACACUUCAUAGAAAAAAAAAAUUACAAUGAGCAAAUCUAUACUCCUUAUGUUGCUUUAACUAAGCAAUUGGUCAACUUUCUCACUAAGGGUCUAUCAAGCUCAAUAUUUCAUCAAUUCUUGGACAAGCUUCGCAAGCAAAAUAUCUUGCAUCCGCUUGAGGGGGAGUGUUGAAAUUCUACCAUAUGAAAUUCCUAAUAAUCUUAGGAAAUCUCAUUCUCUAUGAUUUUGUAUCUUUCCUUGUAUAUAUUCUAUCCAUUUACUAUGUAUAUAUCCCUAUGCAAUCUCAAUUAUUCAUUAUUAAUUAAAAUCAGUUUUAACAACAGUAUUUAGCAAACAACCAUCCACCUUGCCAAAUGAUUUUCUUCGAAUACCAUUUGAUUCAAAGUUACCUUGUUCUUAGCUCUAGUUCACUAGACAACAUCAUAUGAUAUUUAUUUUCCUGAAAUACCAGUUGACUGAAAGCUUAACCUGGAUAGAAGGGCAAAAUUUGUUCUAGACUCUUCUUAUUUAGUAAACAUUAAUCCACCUUGUCAAAUCAGCAAAUAAUUUUCCUGAAAUACCAUUUGACUCAAAGCUUAGCCUGGAUAGGAGGGCACAAUUUGUUCUAGACUCUCAAAGUUGUUCUCUUUAUUUAGUAAACAUCAAUCCACCUUGGCAGAUUUUCCUCAAAUACCAUUUAACUCAGAGUUUAGGUUGAAUAAAAAGGCACAAAUUUUUGUUCUAGCUUCUUAUUUAGCAAGCAUAAAUCCACCUUAGCAGAUGAUUUUCCUCAAAUGCUAUUUCACUCAAAGAUUAGGCUGGAUGAGAAGGCACGCCCGACAAACUGUCUUGGGUGUGCCCAGUUUCCAUUUCUUCAUUGAAUGUUACCAGCGAAGACAAGUUUUCAAGGUAGUUUCUUAGAAGGAAAGUACCCUAGAUGACUGGCAGUCAGCUUGAACAUGAGGAUUACCUGGAAAGAGGGCAAUUGGUGUAUCACUCUUGAGAGAGGGGUUGGCAGCAUUGGAUAGAUCCAUAGACACUUUCUACUUUCAGUUUUUAUGAACAGGUACAACAAGUCUCUAUUGAUAUUUCCAAAAGGGCAGAAUUGUACUCGUUGGUCAUCUUUUUCUGCACCAGUCAACAAUCUUUUCUUGGAUAAAUUAUCGAAUAAGGGUAGAGGGCUUAUGACAGUGUUCGAUAGCGGAGGCCAAGAAGGCAUUUCUAUUUUAGAAUACACAUUCAACAGGCCUUGAGCCGUAAAUCUCUCCUCAGAGUUGCAUAAAUUGAUGAAUGGCUGAAACCUAUCACUAACCUAGCAAACUUGCUCGGAGUAUUAAUCUCUCAUAAUUUUGGUGCUCUUUUGCAUGAAAAGCUCAGUCAGAUAACCAUGAAAACUAAUAGACUGGCCUAGAGGGAGAGCCUCCUCAUUGGAGUUUGUUGGGGACUUGCUUCUUGGCUAGGCUUAUAGGAUCUGGCAUUGGGCUUUCAGCAUGGUUAGGGUGUAAACAUGGUGGAUUUCUAUCUUGUAAUUGAAGCUGAUCCUCUAAGUUCCCAUUUCCCUUCUUUCUUACAGAAGGAUCUGCCAUCCCUCAUUAACUGCUUCUAGAAUUGAAUAUGUAGAUAAUACUUCAGUUUCCUAAUAAAAAAUGUUUAAAAAAAUAAAGAAAAUAAGAUAAAAUAGGUGGCAAGUUUGAAGGAAGUGUCUAGGUCGAUUGCUUUGGUGGAAAGAAAUCUCCAUAUGAGGAGAGAAUGAACCUCCCCACUUUAUGCCUACUUGGAAGAUGUGGUUGCCUCAACCAACCACUGUUAACAGGGAAUAGUUGAAACUUUGGAAGGCAAUGAAAGGGGUAAUCUCUGGACAGUGUUGGUAGUAAGUAGGUCAGAUUAAGAUGGAUACCAGACAUCCAAAGAUAAUCUACAAGCAUUAAGACAUAUUUAGUCUAUAUUCAUUCAUUCUUUCCCACACUGAAUUGUUAUAUAAUAACAUUAUCCAUAAAAACAUUCAGAUUAUUAAGAACACGUUAAUUUUGAUAAAGUAAAUUGCAUAUAAUAAAUAAAAAACAAAAAUUUUCCAUUGUAGAUAAAAUAAAAUUAUUUAAAAGAUAAAAUAGAAUUGUUUGAUAGUGAUUUCUUUCAAAAUGAAAAUCAUGGCAGAUGUUGGAAGCAAUAGAUCUUUUAUCUGUAUAAUUUUGAAAAGUUUAUAAACUGAACUGAUCUACUAGAAUGUUCCAUAAUCUACAUGUGUAAUGCACCACACAAACAAAUCAAUACUGCAACUAAAAUAAAAAAUUCAAGUUCACAAAUGAAUGAAUACAGAGAAAUAAAUGUAUACAACUUGAUUACAUGGCAACUACUUCACCUUUUUCUGUGUAAGAAUUUCUCCAGUCAGGCUUUUUAGAAUCCAUUCUCGAUCAUGUAAAAGGCCUGCACAAAAGUUUGCAGAAAGAGGAUAAAAUUAUUAUUCAGAUAAAAUGCAAUAGAAAUAUACCCCAAUUCACAGUAGAAGAAUAACAAUAUUGUUCAAAUAAAUUUUUUUAUAAAUUAACUACAAGCCAAUUCCAAGUAGUUGGGAGGGCUUUUCUCCAAAUUUUUUUUUUAGUUUUGAAGUUUUCUUUAUUUGCAGAUGCUGUCAUAUAAAAUCUCAUACAAACCACUGUGACAAAGAAAUAGUUGCAUGGUUACUGUUGACCUAAGACCAAGGGCUUAAAUAAAAUAUACUAAUCUAGAAAAGUAUGGUUCAUAUGUUAAACAACAAGGUACCAUAAAUUUCAGCUGAUAAGAAAUGGGCUGACGAUGUAUGCCAAGCUAACAGCUUCAAUCAUGGCCUCAACCCACAGAUUGACAGGCAAAUAACCAAUUAUAUUCAAAGAAAUGGGAAUAAACAGUAGACCUCUCUGAAACAGAGCCUUGAACAAUCAUCUAGCCAACCGCUUACCCAAAAACUUGAGUUGCUAGGAAAUGGCUUACCAAUGGAAGCCAACCACAGGACAAUUUCAUAUUAUCAACAUCUAGUAUGACUUAAACUUGCACAAGAUAAUGAAUCAUAAGCAUUAGGUGCAUGCCAUUAAGAAAGACAAUGGUAGUGGACCAUAUAUUUAGUAUACAUCUUGUUAAAAGCAUGAUUUUAUUUCAAUAAUAUUUUAAUGAGAUAAAUGCAAUCAACUCCCAUCACGAUGAUAAAAUAAGGACAAAAAUAAAAUAAAAAAUAAAACUUUAAAAUGGUACUGUUGUACCAGAAAACUCCCCUAUCAGAAUGAUCAUAAGAUGUAUUAAUGUGGGUGAGGACUUUAUUCAAGAUUUAGCCUCUUUGGAUUGUAAUAGUCUCUAUUUGGCCCCUUACCUAUUUAGGUCUCCUUUUAGGGGGAAAUCUGAUUACUACUCAAAAACUAUAUAAUUUGGAUAAUAAAAUAUUGUAGAUUUUACAUCUUUUGGAUGGUAAUCUUAUCCUUUUUACUCAAUUGGCAUAUUGCUACUCCUGCAAUUUUACUAACAAUUCUUUUGAGUUAUGAAAUUAUUAAGGUUAAAUUGAAGUGAAAUUGCCAAGGGGAUAUGGAGUAGCAUCUUGUGGAAAGAGGGAAAUGAGGCUGUUUGAUAAAAGGAAGCCAUGUGAAGGAAGAUGAAUUGUUGGCUUUGGAUUUGCCUUGAUGAAAAUGCACAUGUUUAUGUGAGCUUUGUAUGCAUUUUUCGCAUGAAGGAAGCUAAGUUUGAAUAGCCAUGAAAACGGGACCAGCGAGGGUGCAUUUCUAAAGAGUUUUUGUGGCUCAAUUUUGCAUGCUAUAUGAAGUUUCGCAUAACAAUGCCAACUGUUGAAUAUAAUGUAUUUAUAGUGUACAAUCUUUCUUUCCUUUCUUAAUAUAGGUCCCAUAUAUGGUAGUUAGUUCAACCUAGCCUUGUAUAUAUAUUUCUCUAUUGUAAGAAGUUAAUGCUAUGAAUGAGAAUUAAGGUUUUCUCUUUCUCUCUUUCAACAUGGUAUCAAAGCCAAGGGAGAAAACUUCAUUCUUUCUGGUUCACCCGUGUAAUUAAUUCCGGGAAUCCAUCCAAUGAUCGUGUUUCAUUCCGGUCACCUUUUCCAUCUCCCAAAGCUUUCUGGUCAAUCAUAUCGUGGUCAGAAAACCCUCAUCACCGUCAACAUUUUUUCGACGACGUUUUUCGGUGACUUUUCCGGCGACAUUUUUUUUUUGCAAUAUUUUCCAACACCGACCACAUCAUCUGGAGCGCAAUUGCAACUUUUCUCGAAGCACCGGAGCCAAAAACCGGUCCACGCGCCGUUCUUCUCCGACGGCCUGAAUCCCACGCACCGGCGCAUGAGGGCGCGUGGCCCACUUUCUGGUGCCAAGCUUCUACCAGCAGGCUCAUCCGACGCCGUCUUGCACUUCUAAGCCUCCAUCAGUCCUCUCCGAACCCUACUUCUCCAUUUUUUUGGCAUUUCAGCCUCCGACGACAGCUACCUUCCUUGGCCGAGACCUGUGUGUGCCUUGGGAAGGCCUCUUCUUCAUCUCCAGUCACUUUUCUCCUUUGUUUGGGUCAUGACAUACCAGGUUCUUCUUCCACAGUUGUGAUCCGACCUCCCUUUAGGGCUCUCUUCGAUCCAAAUGUGAUUCAAUCUCAGAUGAAGUGGAUAUGGCGACUAAAAAUCUUAUUUUUACAUCCGUCAUCGGAAAAAUUGAUUGGUAGUGAGAAUUAUCUCUUCUGGUCAACGUCCGUGGAACUUUGGUUUAUGGGACAAGGUUAUGAGAAUCAUCUUGUUACACCUGAGGAUGCUAUACUUAAUGUUGACAAAGUGCAAUGGAAGAAAAUCGAUGCACAAUUAUGCAGCGUAUUAUGGCAAUCUGUUGAUCCCAAAAUUUUACAUCAUCUUCGUGCCUACAAAACUUGCUUUAAAUUUUGGACUCAGGCUAAAGGAUUAUACAUGAAUGAUAUUCAACGAUUUUAUAAGGUGGUUUCUAAUAUUGUUUGUGUGAGACAGCAGGAGAUGGAUUUGUCUACUUAUAUUGGCCGGAUUGCGUCUCUUAAGGAGGAGUUCUUAACUUUGAUGCCCUUCACUAAUGGUGCUGAAGCUCAACAAAUAUAGACUGACAAGUUCUUUAUGGUGUUAACCCUCAUUGGCCUCCGUCUAGAUCUUGAAUUUGUCCGAGAUCAGAUUCUUGCUAGUCCAUCAUUACCAUCAUUGGAUGAUGUGUUCGCUCGUCUCUUACGCCUCUCCUCUACUCAGACCUUGUCGACUGAUGGUCCUUCAGAUUCAUCUGUGUUAGCCUCUCAGACUAACUCUCGAGGAGGACGUAGUGACAAUCGGGGUCGAGGACAACGUCCUCAGUGCACCUAUUGUAAUAAGCUUGGUCACACUCGAGAUCAUUGCUAUCAGUUACAUGGACGGCCUCCUCACACUGCCCACAUUGCUCAGUCAUCUGAUCCUCUGCUAUCUCGACCUGACUCCGCUGCGAGCUCCACAUCUCAGAGUAUCACCCUUACUGGUAGUAAUUAUGAUGCCUAUCUCCGAUAUCAGGCAGCCACAUCAGCUUCUGUUGCCCAGACCGAUAAUGUCUCUGUCUGCUUUACUCAGAUUUAUGGUUGUGACUAUAGUGACACCUUCUCUCCUGUUGCCAAGAUUGCUUUUGUUCGCUUAUUUCUCUCCAUGGCAGCUAUGUGUCAUUGGCCUCUUUAUCAAUUGGAUAUUAAGAAUGUUUUCCUUCAUGGUGAACUUCUCGAGGAAGUGUAUAUGGAGCAACCACCUGGUUUUGUUGCUCAGGGGGAGUCUGGUUAAGUGUGCAAGUUACGCCGCUCUCUAUAUGGCUUAAAACAGUCUCCUCGGGCAUGGUUUAGGCGUUUUAGUUCAGUUGUUCAAGAGUUUGGAAUGCUUCGGAGUCAAGCAGAUCAUUCAGUUUUCUAUCAUAACUCUUCGAGCAGUGCAUCUAUUUGGUAGUUUAUGUGGAUGACAUUGUCAUUACAGGCAGUGAUCAGGAGGGUAACCAAAGACUUGGGCAAACUCAAGUACUUUCUGAGACUUGAAAUAGCUCAAUCCAGUUCAGGUGUGGUUAUGUCACAAAGGAAGUAUGCCUUAGACAUCUUGGAAGAAACAGGUAUGUUAGAAUGUAAACUUGUUGACACUCCUAUGGAUCCAAAUGUCAAACUUGUACCAGGACAAGGGGAGCCUCUAAGAGAUCCUGGGAGAUAUCGACGACUUGUAGGCAAACUGAACUACCUCACCAUCACUCGGCCAGACAUCUCUUUUCCUGUGAGUGUGGUUAGUCAAUUUCUACAGUCACCAUGUGACAACCAUUGGGAUGCUAUGAUCCGCAUUCUUCGAUAUAUUAAAGGAGCACCAGACCAAGGUAUGUUGUAUGAAGACAUGGGUCAUACACAAAUUGUUGGUUACACAGAUGCAGACUGGGUUGGUUCACCCUCAGCUAGGCGUUCCACCUCAGGGUAUUGUGUUUUUAUUGGAGGUAACUUAAUAUCCUGGAAGAGUAAGAAAACAAGAUGUAGUGGCCAGAUCAAGCGCCGAAGCUAAGUAUCGAGCUAUGGCUUUGGCAAUAUGUGAACUCAUAUGGUUGAGGCAACUCUUUCAGGAAUUAAGAUUUGGAAAAGAUGAACAGAUAAAGCUAGUCUGUGAUAAUUAGGCCGCAUUACAUAUUGCAUCCAAUCCAGUCUUUUAUAAAAAGACCAAGCAUAUUGAAGUUGACUGUCACUUCAUUAGAGAGAAGAUCGCAUCAAGGUGUGUUGCUACAAGUUUUAUUAAUUCAAAUGAUCAACUAACAGACAUCUUCACUAAAUCUCUCAGAGGUCCUAGGAUUAAAUACAUAUGUAACAAGCUUGGUGCAUAUGACAUAUAUGCUCCAGCUUGAAGGGGAGUGUUGAAUAUAAUGUAUUUAUAGUGUACAAUCUUUCUUUCCUUUCUUAAUAUAGGUCACAUAUAUGGUAGUUAGUUCAACCUAGCCUUGUAUAUAUAUUUCUCUAUUGUAAGAAGUUAAUGAUAUGAAUGAGAAUUAAGGUUUUCUCUCUCUCUCUCUUUCAACACCAACAACACGAUAAAAGUCAUUCUUUAAGUGGGUUUUAGAAGGCGUUUUCGCAUGGAGAGGAAGUAAUCUCACAUGGCCCUUAUAAAACUGUGUUUUUAUGCAAUUUUUGCAUGGAGAAGGUCGACGUUCGCCUGCACAUGCGAACAUGACCAAGAAUGUGUUAUUUUGAAGGCUUUUGGAAGCCAAUAUCAAUUUCACAUACCUAUGAAGAACUUGAAGCUCUUAUGCAAGAUUUGAUUAAAACUCAAAUUGUUGCCAUUGAUUUAAAGGAAGGUUCUAGAUGAUCUUUAGGAUGAUGUCAUGUGUCAAUUUCACUAUAGAGAUAUAAAUAGGAUUUGAGAAUUCCCAAGGAAUUUUGCAACCUUUUGAUAUUUUGGAGAGCUUUUCUUAUACUUUGUAAUUCUCUAGCUUUCUUAAUAUUAAAUUUUCAUUUUUUUUCACUUUCUCUCCUCUCACUAGCCAAACAUGUUGUGUGGAGUUGAUCUCACAACUAUGAGUGGCUAAAUUUCAUUUUUCUUGAAGGAAGAAGAAUCUAGAGAAAGAUCUACUGUGUAUUAGGCAAAUGGAACUUGAUUUGAUAAGGUAAUUUGAUUCAUUUGAUUGAUUCAUAAGAUUUUAAGAAAUUUUUUCUUCAAAUUAUCUUGAAUGACAAGUAUGGUGCAAAUUAGAUAGAUCCGCUAAAUUUUAAAGCUAGAUUUAGUGAAAUUGAAUAGUUGCAUUGUUAAAAUGAAAUGAAUAUAUGGAUUGAAUUGAUUCUUUGUAUUAAGUCACUUAAUUUGAAGAAAAAUCUGAUUUAGACUUAAAGAUAUAUCUAAAAUCAAUUUAGAUGAGAAUUUAUAUUUUCAAUCUAACUUCAUGAAUAUGAGAUCCUAAUACCCACUCACUAGAGAGAUUGUUCCCCAGAAAAUUCUAAAUCCAAGAGUUUUUCCUCGUAUUAAUUUUGGGUAAAUUUUGGUUUUUCUUAAGCGAAUUUUUCUUUCUGAUUUGAACACACCACCCUUUCCAUUUCAUUAUGAAUUUGCAAGUCAUUUUCAUUUAAUCAUAUCCAUCUCUUAUCUUUCAUUCAAGCCUUGAUUUACGAAAAUGUCAUCCUAGUGGAUGAUACCUAGAAUCACUACAUUGUUGUAACUUUUGUUGAAAACUUUUUUAUCAGGCAAGAGUUAUCAUAACAUAGUUGAAUCAGGUUAUAAAUUUGGUUUUAACGAAACAAAUUUUGACUAUAAAAUCCCGGAGCUGCUUCUUUUUGGGAUCUAGUGUUAGAUAGGAUCUCUUGUUAUUCGGAUGGUUAGAAAAACAUUUUUGUCACUAGGUGGUGGAAUAAGUUUUGUGCAGUCUUAUUUAAUUCUUAUCCCCACUUAUUUCCUUUCAAUGUUUAAUGUCCCAACUAAAGUGGCUUACAAGAUUGAGAAAUUAUAAAGAGACUUCCUUUAGUUAAGGUUUGGGAAAAGGAAAAGCAACCACCUAGUUUGGUAGGAUCUUGUGUGUAAACUAAAAAGGGAUGGAGGAUUGUGUUUAGGGAGAAUCUACUUGAGGAAUAAAGCCUUUCUUAGAAAGUGGUUGUUGAGGUUUCCUAGAGAAAGCAAUGUUUUUUGGCAUAGCAUCAUCCUAAGUAUUUAUGGCUUGCACUCCAAUGGUUAGGAUGUUAAUACAGUUGUUAGGUGGUCACAUUGUUGCCAUUGUAAAGCCAUUUCUCAAGUUUUCAACGAUUUCUCGAACGUCACCCAAUACUUGAGAUGACACAAAAAUUUGCCUCUGGGAGGAUACUUGGUUGGGCGAGAGUCCUCUUAAGUUUCUAUCUCCAAAUCUGUUCUGAGUCAUCAAGACAUGGAAUAUGCUUAUUUUCUUUGCUAUAGAUCAGCCCUCUACCAGUCCAUCUUGGAAUUUCAACUUUUUGUCAAAAUCUCUCUGAUUCAGAGAUUGAAAAACAGCUUAGACUCCUCUCUUCCAUGGGUUAUGAGUACUUAUCACCUCCCUUUACAGAUUAAAGGGUUUGACUAGGUUCCUUCUAAAGGCAUAGCAGAGAUGAAGGGUAUCUCCUUCAAGGGCUUUGGAAGCCUUCCAAAAGGGAAGAUUCUAUGGCAAGUGGCCAUAUUAUCCUUGAUAUGGUUUAUAUAGACGGAGAGGAAUGCAAGGAUUUUCGAGGACAGCUGUAGAUUUGUGCAUACCAUUUAAUAGCUGAUUUACUUUUUCUUUUCCCUUUGAGCAUCGGUCAUGGAGCCUUUUACAAAUAUUCCUUUGUUUCUUUUAAUGUUGAAUUGGAAAAGUGUCUACUUCUCGAAUAGGUCCCUCUCUCUUAGGUUCCCCAUUCAACUAACUAAGUUGUAGACUAAUUAGCCAAACAAGGAGCUAAAUAUUUAGCCUCCUUCGUUAGAGACUUUCUCCCCCCUUAAGUGUGCUAUAUUUCUAUUCUUUGUAGUUCUUACCCCUUGUGAGGCUUGACAUUUGGUUACUUUAUAACCUUUUUUUGUACAUCCCUGAGAUUUCUUGUCCUUGUUAUAAUUAUCUUUUUAAGAUAAAUGAAGAUGGUUGUUUCUAUUCAAAAAAUAUAUAUUUCUAUCACAUCACCCCAUACAAAUUCAUUAAUUGAGAGGAGGAUUUCAAUUGUUCAAAAAAACUAAUUUAUAGGUUUCAAAUAUAUCUUGUUAUCCAAUUGGCUAUUUUCUUUACAAUGGAAACUAAGAUUAACUACAAGCAAAUAUAAAAGUUAGUGGUGAUACAAUCCAAAGUUUUGAUUUUGGAAAGAUACUACUACUAAUAGUAUUAAUUGCUUCUUUUCUUGGGCUUGAUGAAAAUUGAAUUUGACUUUAGGUUCCAAAAACUGUUGAAAGAAUUGACCCCUUUCCCUUAGUAACAUGCUUUGGAUAGUAUUUUUUUUUUCCUUUUUAUUAUUGUGUGCAAAAACAGUCAUGAAAUUGUUGAUAUUAUAAAAUUAAUAUAUAAAAUUUAAUCAAAUAACUGACCAUUCUUAAGAUAAAAGGUAGAAUUAACUAGAAAAUGUGUCCUCACUUGUAUCCAAACAAUGGAAUAUGUAUUUGUAAAAUAGAAUUUAUACUAUUCAUGCAAAAUAUUUUUAUUGACUUCGAUACCUUAUUAGUUAAGUUAGUGUUCUGAUUCUUAAUUUUUUUAGUGUUUAAAUUUAAAAGGGAUAACAUCAACACAUUAGUCCACCAAAGGGAGUUUUUUACUACAAAAUAAAACUUUAGGAGUUAACAUCCCAUUUCAAAGGUGUGGGAGGAUCCUAUAGUUUUACCAUGCUUCAAGAGAGGUUACCAUAAUUUGUGACCAACAAACCAAAAUAGAUGAACACAGCCCUUUAGUUAAACCUAUAUUAUAACUAAAAAGUUACUCAAACAACAUACAGAAUCCUUUCAAAGCAAGCAACAUAUAAGUGCAGAAAAAGAAUGGCUACCAGUAUUGCUUAGAGGCCAACCCUCUACACUGAAUCCUGCACAUGAUUUUAUCGGGUAGAUAGUAAUAGACUUAAGACGAAAAGAUGUAGUUGAGAGUCUUCUUUCGCGGCCUACAAUUUAGAAAUAGUGAAAAAUGUUACAUACAAUGCUCAAAGCAUAUAAUAUGUAAUUUCUGUCCUAUUCUUAUAGUUAACAAAAGUGAGAAUUUAUGUCUACAACUUAUUUUCUUUUCCUCAAUUUUUUUUGACAAGGAACAUGUUACAGAGUAAAGGAACUUGCAAGGAGAGCCACCACAAAAUUAAAGCAGAAGCACAAGAACUAUGCUGGUACAAAAAUAAAAAUAAAAAUAAAUCGUCAAAGCCUCUAACUAAAGGAAAAUGCCCCAAUUAUUAUACUCUAAAUCUCAUUUCUGAAGUCAAUAAUUAUACCAGUGACAAUUCCCAGAAAGGAAAAAUGUGAAAAGAAUACAUAAGUUUAAAAAGGUGCAAUGAAAGUAAAAUAAAAGCUAAAGACAAAGCAUGCAUAACUAGGAAGAGAAAAACAGACUCAGUUCAAAAUUUAUUCUUGACCAAGUAAAGGCACUGAAAACAUAAACUGCAAAUGAAUGAAGAAAAUUAGACAAAGAAGUGACCAUAAAUUAAAUAUAUGGCAUCCUACAGGGUAAGGAAUCAAGCAAUUAAAAAUAGAAGGGAUCCUAUCUUAGAGUGUUCAGAAAACUAAGUUCAUACUAUUUUAUUAUGCAUACAAGUGCACAUAUAUUUAAUGUCAUUUUAUUCAUCAGUGUUGAACUUUUUCUUUUAUCUGUUAUUGUUUGUUUCCUUACAUCAUAAAUAUCAAGGAUACGAGUAAGAGUCCCAAGUGAAAUCUGACAGUUAUUUAUAUGUUCAACAUGCACAGUGAUACAUGUAUAAAAAUUAUUAAUGGAAUCACAAGAAGAAGGAUGGCAAAGCCUUCAAACCUUGCAAAAGAGGAUAAGCAUAUUGGUGGAUACCUGACUUCAACUCUAUGGCAUCAGGUUAUUCUAAGCAUUUAUGGGACACAUUCUAAUGGUUGGGAUGUCAACACUACAGUCAGAUGGUCACAUCGUUGUCCUUCGAAGACUAUUGCACAAGUCUUUCAGGAUUUUUCCAAGUAUACUCGGUUUGUGGUAGGAGAUGGGGAAAGAAUUCUUUUUUGGGAAGACUUGUGGUAGGGGGACCAACCUUUGGGAUUCCAAUAUCCAAGACCAUUUAGAGUAGUCACGGAUAAAAAUAUUCCUAUAUCUUCAAUUCUCGGUUCUGCUCGCUCCUUCUCUUGGAACUUUAAUUUACGUCAUAACCUUUCCGAUUCUGAGAUAGAAGAUUUAGAAAGUCUCAUGCGUUCACUUUAUUGUUUGCAUUUAUCCCUAUCGGUUUCAGAUGUGAGAUCCUGGUCUUUAUCUUCUUCAGGGUUAUUUACAGUCAAGUCUUUUUUUCUAACCUUGUCCCACCUUUCCGAUUUAUCUCCAAGUUUCCCUACUAAGUUUGUAUGGAAUUCCCAAGUCUCUUUUAAAGUCAAGUCAUUUGUCUAGUUAGUGGCAUACAAGAAGGUAAAUACUAGUGACUUACUACAAUUGAGAAGACUCUAUAAAGUUGUUAGUCCUGACAUUUGUAAGUUGUGUAUGAAGCAUGGAGAAUCAGCAUAUCAUCUUUUCCUACAUUAUUCUUUGACGACGGAGUUGUGACACAAAUUAUUUCAGUUAGCCAAGAUGGAUUAGGUUCCCCCAAGAAGCAUUUCCGACAUGAUUUUCAUCAAUUAUAAAGGUUUUGGAAUAUCCAAGGGAGGGAUAGUUUUGUGGCAAACCACGUGCAUUGCUUUAAUUUGGGUUGUGUGGCGGGAAAGAAAGGCUAGGAUAUUUGAGGAUUAAGUUAGGAAUUUAGAGAAUCUAUGGGAUUUCAUUCACUUUCUUGCUUCUCUUUGGGCUUUUUGUUCCAUGGUUUUUAAGGGCAUUCCCCUUAAUGUGUUACAACUAGAUUGGCUAGCAGUGUGUAGCUCCAACGGGAUGGUCUAGCCAAGAGAGAUCGAUUCGUUGUUUUUACAUUUUAGCUUCUUGUUGUUUAGUUUUUCUUUGGUGGGAGGAUUCCUCAUCAUUCUUUUGUACUUCUUAUUUCUAUCAAUAUAUUUCUUUGUUGUUUCCUAUCAAAAAAAAAAUAUUGGUGGAUACCUAUCAUAAAGCAAGGAAAAACAAAAACAAGACCAAGAGCUUCGAAGUCAAAAGGGGUAGUACUACCCCUAAUGGAGACUUUGUUUUGUGGAUAUUUUAAAUAGGUAAUAGGCAUUUCAUUAUAAGAUGAUCCUGACCAGGGAGCACAUAAGUUGGGAAUUUUAAUUUUCUUGGGCAUGGCAUCUUCCUAAAAUUAGUUAGGAUCUCUUAACUACCUCAACCUUAGAAUUUUUAUUUCCAUAGGGCGCCUUCUUGCCCACACCAAAAUUCUAGACAAAAGCAGGAUCACUCCCUUGCCUUUUUUAUACAACAAAGGAGAGAUAAAAAGAGCCGAUGUAAUAAUUUCAACCUUUUCACCUAGCUAAGUAUGAUAUAUAAGUGAGAAAAAAGUCAUGCAUCUAGCCAAACAUGAUAUUGAUAUCUACAAGCAGAACUGAAAAAGUAGGAUCAAAUAUCUUGUGUGUAAAUUGCGAACACAAACUAGAAGAGACAACCAAAGAUGAAUUGAUCUAUGAAUUAGAAUGUAUAACCAUGAAUUUUUCUAUUUCUAUUUAUCCUAAGCAUAAUUUAAAAUGCAGAAAUAUUUUGCAAAUUUAGAUGAUAACGUACAUUAAGUUCAAGGUUGCAAUUAAAAUCUCAAAGAAAUCUUUCUGUCCUUUGAAUUCUUCAAGAUAAAAUUUCGAGGAGGCUGGAUGGUUGGGAAAAGGCCUUUUUGUCUUUGGGAGGGAGGAUUACUUUAAUUCAGUCAAGUCUGUCUUACAUCCCUAGCUACUUCCUCUCUCUCUUCAAAAUCCCAGUAUCAAUAGCCUCAAAGAUUGAGAAGCUGCAAAGGGAUUUUCUUUGGUCUAAGGCGGGGGAAGGGAAGAAAGAUCAUCUUACCAAAUAGGAUGUUGUUUGUAGGCCAAAAGAGUUGGGAGGUUGGGGUUUCGGGAAGACUUCUUUGAGAAAUAUUGCUCUCUUAGGAAAAUGGCUUUGGAGGUUCCCUAGAGAAAGGAAUGGUCUUUGGCAUAAGGUUAUUGCAAGUAUUUAUCGGACACAUCCUAAUGGAUGGGACGCCAACAUGGUGGUUAGAUGGUCACACAGAUGUCCUUGGAAGGCUCUUGCUCAAGUUUUCUAGGAUUUCUCCCAUUUUGUCCGUCUAGUGGUGGGGAAUGGGGAGAGAAUCCGGUUUUGGGAAGAUCUUUGGUGGAGUAACCAAACUGUGUGCUCUCAAUUUGCUGGUCUUUAUAGAGUUAUUUAUGUGAAAAACCUCACUGUCUCAAAUGUCCUUGGCAAUUCAUUUCCACUGUCUUGGAAUUUUAAUUUUCGUCGUAAUCUUACUAAUACAGAAAUUGAUCUACUUCAGAGAAUCACGUCCUCCCUUAGUUCAGUGUUUUUCUCUCCUUCUUUGGCAGAUUCAAGAGCUUGGUCUUUGUCAUCAUCAGGCUUGUUUUCAGUGAAAUCUUUUUUCUUGGCCUUGUCAAAAGUCUCAAAUCCUAUCUUGUUCCUUCUGGCCAAGUUUUUGUGGAGUUCAAAAGCCCCCUCAAAGGUUAAGGCCCUUGCUUGGUUAGUAGUACAUGGGAAGGCAAACACCAAUGACAAGUUGCAAUUGAGAAGACCCUACAAAUCCCUCUGUCCUCAAUAGUGCAUUCUUUGCAAAGGAAAUGGAGAAUCGAUCGACCACCUUUUUCUUCAUUGUCCUGUUACCAUUAGACUCUGGCACAAGCUGUUCAAUCUAGUAAGGUUGGCUUGGGUCCCUCCAAGGAGUAUUGUGGACAUGAUGGUUAUUGCUUUUAAAGGUUUGGGGAAUUCAUUAAGAGGCAAGACACUUUCAAAAAUCGCUUGCCUUACUUUGUUAUGGAUGGUGUGACAAGAGAGAAACAAUAGGAUUUUUUAAGAUAAGGGAAGAACGAAAGAGAUGUUAUGGGACUUGCUUCUUUUCUAUUCCUCUCUUUGGGCCACUUAUACUGUAGCUUUUAGCGGAGUUCCUCUUAGUGCUUUACAACUCAACUGGACUGCGGUUUGCGUUUCAAAAGUUUGAGAGUGUUGGGGUUUUUCUUUGUAUUUAGUUUUCUAAAGUUGAGUGUUUUCUCUUUCGUUCAAUUUUUGUUUUUGUGGGAAGGACCUCUCACCCUUCUCUUGUUUCUUCUCUUUCUCUUAUAUGUCUUCUUUCUCUUGUAUCUUUUCUUUUUUUAAUAUAUUUUUCUUCGUUUCUGAUAAAUAAAAAUUAAAAAAAAAAAUUCUCUACAGGACAACAUAUGUAAUCCAUUUUAAAUUAAUCAUACAAUCCAUACCAGUUGUUCUUCGCACUUCUAGAAAGCACGAUAGAAAACUUAAAAAUCCUAAUUAACCAACUCCAAUACCUCCUGACGUUGGAAGUUGGAGAGAGAUAGUAAAAGCUUACUUCAAUGAUAUAGUUCAUUUAAACUAUAUUUUAUCUAAUCUAACAACCAAUAUAAAGGAAAAUAAAGAUAAAAAAUAGAAAGUAGCCAGGAUAAGUAAAAUGCUAUGGUGGGGAAACCAUUUUGUGGGUCUGGCAAAGACUAAUUAUGAAUGCUAAUAAUAAUUAACUAUAAGUUUUUCCCUAAAAUAAAUAGAUCCCACCUAUCAAGAUGUUCAAAUCCUGGGUUUGAUUUAAAUAAAAGACUUAAAACAAACAACUCUACGUGGUGGCACCACCUUGCACAAUUGACUUUUGGGCCAUCCAUUUUAAUUCUAGGUAGAUUUCAAGCAUCCAAGGUUGCAAAUAAUGGCUUAAAAACAGCUUAGCCAUCUCAUACACUGCAUCAUACCUCAAAGUAACUAAUCAAGUGCUUAGUUACAAACUUACAAUUCGUUGUCAUGUAAUGCAUCCUUUCAAAUUCUUAACACCAAAAGUUCAAUUUAAAAAUAAAAAAUAAAAAUCACACACAUGCCCCACAUGAUAUCUGAAACUAAAUAAUCAACCACAUGGUAAUAAUGCCAAAUCAUAUAGAUCAAAAUUCUAAAUUCCAAAUAUUUUAAAGCAUCUAAGCGUAACAGAAAAAUGAAAUUAUAAGGACUUUGAUCUUAAAAAAAGAAAAAAAAAUAGAGAAAUCUGAAAUUAUAGAAAUUUUCUUCUCAAAAUUUCUUAAUUUUUAAAAUUAUCAAAAUUUCAGUCUAUGAGCAAUCUCAAAACACCAAUACUAUUUUAUUCUUGCCAAGUUAUAAACUCACUUUUCAAACAUUUUAAUAACAACAAAUUUUCUUUAAUAGAAUUCCAAUGCAAAAAAGAUCUAGUAAUCCUAUCAUUUCAUCACUCAGAAUCUUUAUACUAAACCAAGUGCUUUUAUUUCUUAAAAGAAUAAAUAAAUUUGGAUAUUUCAAUAAGAAUUAAAACACUUGGAAAAAAAUAAAGGUGUUGAAAAGGAAGGGGUCAUUAGAAGAGAGAGUAUCUGGUGUGUUUGAAACCAAAAAGAGUAUUUGCCUUUUUGAAUCUUCCUCAGAUUAUUUUUUCUUCUCCAUGUGUCAAAGGCAUUUAGGGUUUAUGGUCUCCCUCUUUUUUUUUUUUUUUUUUUUUAGAAGCUAUUAAGGUGUGUUGAGAGAGAGAGAAAGAAGAAAAACCUUAAUUCUCAUUUAUGUAAAGUCUACUUACAAUUGAGAAAUAUAUAUAUACAAGGCUAGGAGUCCUAACUAUCAUACAUGUGACCUAUAUUAACAAGGAAAGAUUAUACACUAUAAAUACAUUAUAUUCAACACUCCCCCUCAAGCUGGAGCAUAUACGUCAUAUGCACCAAGCUUGUUACAAAUAUAUUUAAUCCUAGGAUCUCUGAGAGAUUUAGUGAAGAUGUCUGCUAGUUGAUCAUUUGAAUUAACAAAACUUGUAGCAACACAUCCUGAUGCGAUCUUCUCUCUAAUGAAAUGACAGUCAACUUCAAUAUGCUCGGUCCUUUCAUGAAAGACUGGAUUGGAUGCAAUAUGUAAUGCGGCCUGGUUAUCACAAAUGAGUUUCAUCUGUUCAUCAUUUCCAAAUCUCAACUCUCGAAGAAGAUGUCUCAACCAUAUGAGUUCACAUGUUGCCAAAGUCAUAGCUCGAUACUCGGCUUCAGCGCUAGAUCUGGCCACUACAUCUUGUUUCUUACUCUUCCAAGAUAUUAGAUUACCUCCAAUAAAAACACAGUACCCUGAAGUGGAACGUCUAUCUGUGAGUGAGCCAGCCCAAUUUGCAUCUGUGUAACCAACAACCUGAGUAUGACCUCUGUUCUCGUACAACACACCUUGGCCUGGUGUACUUUUGAUAUAUCGAAGAAUGCGGAUUACGGCAUCCCAAUGGCUAUCACAUGGUGACUGUAGGAAUUGACUAACAACACUCACAGGAAAAGAAAUGUCUGGACGAGUAAUGGUGAGAUAGUUCAAUUUACCUACGAGCCGUCGAUAUCUCCAAGGGUCUCCUAAAGGCUCUCCCUGUCCUGGUACAAGUUUGACAUUUGGAUCCAUAGGUGUGUCUACCGGUUUACAGUCUAACAUACCGAUUUCUUCCAGGAUGUUUAAAGCAUACUUCCUUUGGGAAAGGACCACACCAGAACUGGAUUGAGCUAUCUCAAUUCCCAAGAAAUACUUAAGUUUCCCCAAGUCUUUGGUCUAAAAGUGGGUAAAAAGAUGUUGUUUUAGUUUCUGAAUACCAUCCUGAUCACUGCCUGUAAUGACGAUGUCGUCCACAUAAACAACCAGAUAAAUACACUGCCCCAAGGAGUUAUGAUGAUAGAAAAAUGAAUGGUUUGCUGUACUGCAAAGCAUGCCAAACUCUUGAACAACAGAACUAAAACGGUCAAACCAUGCUCGAGGAGAUUGUUUCAGGCCAUAUAGAGAACGGCGUAACCUGCACACUAAACCAGACUCCCCCUGAGCAACAAAACCAGGAGGUUGUUCUAUAUAAACUUCCUCGGCAAGAUCACCAUGAAGGAAGACAUUUUUAAUAUCCAACUGAUAAAGAGGCCAAGAACACAUAGCAGCCAUGGAGAGAAGCAGACGAACAGAAGCAAUCUUGGCAACAGGGGAGAAUGUGUCACCAUAAUCAGAACCUUAAACCUGAGUAUAGCCUUUAGCAACUAAGCGGGCCUUAAGGCGAUCAACCUGACCAUCAGGACCAACCUUAACUGCGUAGACCCAACGACAGCCAACGGUAGAUUUACCAGAGGGUAAAACAACAAGAUCCCAAGUGCCAUUAGAGUGCAGAGCAGUCAUUUCAUCCACCAUUGCCUGUCGCCAGCCUGGAUGGGAAAGAGCUUCAUGGGUGCUCUUUGGAAGAGAAACAGAGGAUAUAGCAGAAACAAAAGCAGAAUAGGGUGAAGAUAAUCGAUGAUAACUCAAAAAAUUGUAAAUAGGAUGAGGAUUACGACUAGAGCGAGUACCUUUCCCAACAACAAUGGGUAAGUCAUUAGGAGAAGGCAGAGCCGGGGCAGGUGAAGCUGAAGGGAUAGGAAGUGAGUCAGCAGGUGCCUCAGCAAAAGGGAGAGGAGCAACGACACGAGGGCGACGAUGAUAAACCUGAAGUGGUCGAGGAGGCAUAACAUUAGGUGGGGAGACAAUGGGAAUGGGCAAGACUUCAAAAACAGGAAGAGACUCAGAAGUGGUGGAAAAGAAUGGUGAGUCCUCAAAGAAGGUGACAUCAGCGGAGAUAAAGUAUUGAUGAGUCUCAAGGGAAUAACAACGAUAACCCUUCUGAAGUCUGGAAUAUCCCAAGAAGAGGCACUUCAUGGCUUUGGCGGAAAGCUUGUCCUGUCCAGGAGUGAGAAUAUAAACAAAGCAAGUACAACCAAAGACACGAGGAGGAAGGAAAUAAAGUGGUUGGUCAGGGAAGAGAAGGGAGUGAGGAAUCUGAUCGUGUAAAACAGAGGAGGGCAUACGAUUAAUCAAAUAACAAGCGGUAAGAACAACGUCCCCCCAAAAACGAAAAGGAACAUUACUAUGGAGGAGGAUAGUACGAGUUGUCUCAACAAGAUGUCGAUUCUUGCGUUCAGCUACCCCAUUUUGUUGAGGAGUAUGAGCACAAGAAGACUGAUGAAGAAUCCCAUGAUGAGACAUAAACGAAGUAAAUGGGGCUGAAAAAUAUUCCCUGGCAUUGUCACUGCGU
rnacentral:lncRNA from 1 species